CUUGUCUCUUGAAGUGUUGUAGAUGUGUCUACUGUGUUACAAGUGCAUCAGUAGGUAGCAGAGAGGAGAGAGGCUAUGCCUAUGCUCAGUGUUCUGACUUAUGAACAUCUGAAAGAUUAAUAGCCUAAUAUU